GUCCCUACGGGGGGCAGCAGUAGGGAAUAUUGCUCAAUGGGGGAAACCCUGAAGCAGCAACGCCGCGUGGAGGGUGAAGGUUUUCGGAUUGUAAACCUCUGUGGAGGGGGACGAUAAUGACGGUACCCCUUUAGGAAGCCACGGCUAACUACGUGCCAGCAGCCGCGGUAAUACGUAGGUGGCGAGCGUUGUCCGGAAUUACUGGGUGUAAAGGGAGUGUAGGCGGGAAAGCAAGUCAGAAGUGAAAACUAUGGGCUUAACCCAUAGCCUGCUUUUGAAACUGUUUUUCUUUAGUGAAGUAGAGG
rnacentral:rRNA from 1 species